rnacentral:rRNA from 1 species
CUACGGGCUGCUGCAGUGGGGAAUAUUGCACAAUGGGCGCAAGCCUGAUGCAGCCAUGCCGCGUAUAUGAAGAAGGCCUUCGGGUUGUAAAGUACUUUCAGCGGGGAGGAAGGGAGUAAAGUUAAUACCUUUGCUCAUUGACGUUACCCGCAGAAGAAGCACCGGCUAACUCCGUGCCAGCAGCCGCGGUAAUACGGAGGGUGCAAGCGUUAAUCGGAAUUACUGGGCGUAAAGCGCACGCAGGCGGUUUGUUAAGUCAGAUGUGAAAUCCCCGGGCUCAACCUGGGAACUGCAUCUGAUACUGGCAAGCUUGAGUCUCGUAGAGGGGGGUAGAAUUCCAGGUGUAGCGGUGAAAUGCGUAGAGAUCUGGAGGAAUACCGGUGGCGAAGGCGGCCCCCUGGACGAAGACUGACGCUCAGGUGCGAAAGCGUGGGGAGCAAACAGGAUUAGAUACCCUUGUAGUC